rnacentral:rRNA from 1 species
GACAGAGGGUGCAAACGUUGUUCGGAAUUACUGGGCGUAAAGCGCGUGUAGGCGGCUCUGCAAGUCGGAUGUGAAAUCCCACGGCUCAACCAUGGAAGUGCAUUCGAAACUGCAGGGCUAGAGUCCUGGAGAGGAAGGUGGAAUGCUUGGUGUAGAGGUGAAAUUCGUAGAUAUCAAGCGGAACACCGGUGGCGAAGGCGGCCUUCUGGACAGUGACUGACGCUGAGACGCGAAAGCGUGGGUAGCAAACAGG